CGGCGGACGGGUGAGUAACGCGUGGGUAACCUGCCUCAUACAGGGGGAUAACAGCUAGAAAUGGCUGCUAAUACCGCAUAAGACCACAGUACUGCAUGGUACAGUGGUAAAAACUCCGGUGGUAUGAGAUGGACCCGCGUCUGAUUAGGUAGUUGGUGAGGUAACGGCCCACCAAGCCGACGAUCGGUAGCCGGACUGAGAGGUUGAACGGCCACAUUGGGACUGAGACACGGCCCAG
rnacentral:rRNA from 1 species